rnacentral:rRNA from 1 species
AGAGUUCGAUCCUGGCUCAGGAUGAACGCUGGCGGCGCGCCUAACACAUGCAAGUCGAACGGUUAAGGCGCCCUUCGGGGCGCGAAUAGAGUGGCGAACGGCUGAGUAACACGUGGGCAACCUGCCCCCCGCACCGGGACAGCCUCGGGAAACCGUGGGUAAUACCGGGUACUCCGCCACCCCCGCAUGGGGGAGGCGGGAGAGCGUAUGCGGCGGGGGAUGGGCCCGCGGCCUGUUAGCUAGUUGGCGGGGCAACGGCCCACCAAGGCGAUUAUGGGUAGCUGGGUUGAGAGACCGACCAGCCAGAUUGGGACUGAGACACGGCCCAGACUCCUACGGGAGGCAGCAGUGGGGAAUCUUGCGCAAUGGGGGCAACCCUGACGCAGCGACGCCGCGUGCGGGACGAAGGCCUUCGGGUCGUAAACCGCUUUCAGCAGGGACGAGGCCGCGAGGUGACGGUACCUGCAGAAGAAGCCCCGGCUAACUACGUGCCAGCAGCCGCGGUAAUACGUAGGGGGCGAGCGUUAUCCGGAUUCAUUGGGCGUAAAGCGCUCGUAGGCUGCCCGCUAGGUCCGGGGUCAAAUCCGGGGGCUCAACCCCCGCACGCCCCGGAUACCGGCGGGCUUGAGUCGGGUAGGGGAAGGCGGAAUUCCAGGUGUAGCGGUGGAAUGCGCAGAUAUCUGGAAGAACACCGGUGGCGAAGGCGGCCUUCUGGGCCUCGACUGACGCUGAGGAGCGAAAGCUGGGGGAGCGAACAGGAUUAGAUACCCUGGUAGUCCCAGCCGUAAACGAUGGACGCUAGGUGUGGGGGGAUUGUCCCUCCGUGCCGCAGCCAACGCA